UUUAUCAAAAACAUGGCUCCUUGUGGUUCUGUAGAUAAGGAGUCGGACCUGCCCGGUGAAUUUAUUUAACGGCCGCGGUACCCUGACUGUGCGAAGGUAGCAUAAUAAUUUGCCUUAUAAUUGGAGGCUUGUAUGAAUGGUUUGACUUGAACAAAUCUGUCUCUUUAUGUUUUUAUAGAAUUUUAUUUUUAGGUGAAGAAGCCUAAAUGUAAUUAAUAGACAAGAAGACCCUAUCGAGCUUUAAGGAAAUUAGUAGAGUCUUUAAUAUAUAUAAAAAAUUUAACUAUUAAAAAUUUUGGUUGGGGCGACCCAGGAACAAAAAAAGCUUCCUGGAUUUAAAGUACUAACAUGUGUUGAUCCAAAUUUUUUUUGAUUUAAGGAAUUAGUUACCGUAGGGAUAACAGCAUUAUCUUCUUUGAGAGUUCUUAUCGAAAAGAGGGUUUGUGACCUCGAUGUUGGACCAGAAUGUCCUAAAGAUGCAGAAGUCUUUAAGGGUUGGUCUGUUCGACCAUUAAAAUUCUACGUGAUCUGAGUUCAGACCGGCGUGAGCCAGGUCAGUUUCUAUCUUUAAUUUUUUUUGUGCAAACAUAGUACGAAAGGACCAGUUUGUAGUAUUAAAUGCUAUAGGUGAAGUAAUAUAAUUAAUGAUUGCUGGAUUAGCAGAUAUUAAUGCAAUUGAUUUAGGAUCAGUAGAUAUAGGUGAAGGUCCUUUAUUCAGUAUAAUAGUAAAGAUGGCAGAUUUAGUGCAUUAGGUUU
rnacentral:rRNA from 1 species